rnacentral:rRNA from 1 species
CCUACGGGGGGCAGCAGUGAGGAAUAUUGGUCAAUGGACGAGAGUCUGAACCAGCCAAGUAGCGUGAAGGAUGACUGCCCUAUGGGUUGUAAACUUCUUUUAUAUGGGAAUAAAAUGUUCCACGUGUGGGAUUUUGUAUGUACCAUAUGAAUAAGGAUCGGCUAACUCCGUGCCAGCAGCCGCGGGAAUACGGAGGAUCCGAGCGUUAUCAGGAUUUAUUGGGUUUAAAGGGAGCGUAGGUGGAUUGUUAAGUCAGUUGUGAAAGUUUGCGGCUCAACCGUAAAAUUGCAGUUGAAACUGGCAGUCUUGAGUACAGUAGAGGUGGGCGGAAUUCGUGGUGUAGCGGUGAAAUGCUUAGAUAUCACGAAGAACUCCGAUUGCGAAGGCAGUUCACUGGACUGCAACUGACACUGAGGCUCGAAAGUGUGGGUAUCAAACAGGAUUAGAUACCCGAGUAGUC